UUCCGAUUUCCUCGGAUUUCUUUUGGUCGAUCCGGCCGAUUCCGGCAACGGUUUGACGUGUUUCAGAUGUCGUUUUCUCCACUUAUUUCCAUAUUGAAUGAAAACAAACUAUCUGGACCAAAUUAUGUUGACUGGAAACGAAACUCGGACAUAGUGCUCACCUCAGGUAGCUCCGGUUUGGGAGAAAUCGUCGAUUGAAGUUCCGGCCACCGUGAGCUUUCCGUGGUCGAUCCGAUCGAUUCCGGCGACGGUGUGACCCUGAUUUUGGUAUGUAUGAGUUCAUCUCUUCGAGGUCUUCAAUUUGGUGUAAGAUUUGACAGGUUUGGGUGGUUGGAUCACUGGCGGUAGUGUUGUCCAAGUUUCAGUCGAGUUGACUCGGUUGACUGGUGUGGUUGGAUCAUUGACCCGGUUUGGCAUUGUUUGACCAGUCUGGCCCAUUUGACUCGGUUUAACCCAUUUGACCCGGUUUGAUCGUCGACUUUGAUCGUUGACCAUAGUUGACCCAACGUAUUUUCACUAUAUUUUCGUAUAUCAUGUUUUUGGGUGUAGGCGGUGAUCCCGAUGGAGAUUCGAAGCAGGUUGACUUUCGCAGUCAGGGGUUAAUCAAGGACGCGUGCUUAGUGUUUGCAUCCUGAUUUCCAGGUAGGGGUUUCCGUGUCUCUCCCGUGUGAUUCUAGAGUUUCGGAUUCACAAACUCUUAUUAUAUUGUGGUUAUGUCGGUUUCCGGGGGUGGAAAUACAAUCUGUUUGUAUGUUUAUACGUAUUCUCUAUUGAUUAUCAUUGUUGGUAUGUUUUUAGAAGUGGGCUGAUUGGAGGAGAUUGCUAUAGAUUGUGGGGCCCAUUUAGGAGCCCAAUAUAUUGGAUUAUGAUGGAUAA